AUUCAGUCAUUCAUAGCAAAUUAUACCAAACUAUUACAUGUUAACAUAGUAAUGUUAUGUUAAUUUUAAUUGCAGAGAUGAAGCCCAUCCAUCUCUAACAACAGCCUCAGCGACUAUUAAUAGAGAAAUACAUGGCCAGGAUAAGCAAAACAAGCGUGAUGUGAUUCUGCUCAUGAGUCUUAUAGCGACGCUUGUGCUGUCCCUGCUUGUUUCUCUCGUUGUAAUAAUAACCUGGAUGCUGAGAAAGAAGUUGGAGAGGGGUCACAUUAGAGAAGAAGAACAUUUUAACCCCACCAGUAAUACGACGGCCUCUGAAAACCAGAUGACAUCCAUCAGUCCAGCAGCUGCUACUUCUUCUGCCUCAGUGGACGACUGUUCGGUGAUUUACAGUUCUGUGAU